CUUGAAAUCAGUUAUUACUUAAAUUACACAUGCAAGUCUCCGCACCCCCGUGAGAACGUCCUUAUAUCCCUUAUAGGGAUUAGGAGCUGGUAUCAGGAACAUAAAAUGCCCAAGACACCUAGCCUCGCCACACCCACAAGGGUCCUCAGCAGUGAUUAACAUUGACUAUAAGCGACAGCUUGACUCAGUUAAAUUAUAUAGAGCCGGCCAAUUUGCGUGCCAGCCGCCGCGGCUAAACCAGAAGCUCAAACUGAUCUCUAUCGGCGUAAAGCGUGAUUUAAGCAAUCAACCCAUUGGAAUUAAAUUUAAACUGGGCCGUGAUAUGCCUGUAUUUAAGAAAUCCAUAAACGAAAGUUAUUCCAAUUAUAUCCACUUGAAUUCACGACAACUGAGACACAAACUGGGAUUAGGUACCCCACUAUGCUCAGUCGUAAACUUUAAAUUACAUCCUACUCGCCCGGGAACUACGAGCUAAGCUUAAAACCCAAAGGACUUGACGGUGCCCCACAUCCACCUAGAGGAGCCUGUCCUAUAAUCGAUGAUCCACGUUUAACCUCACCAUUUUUAGCUUAUUCAGCCUGUAUACCUCCGUCGCCAGCUUACCACGUGAGCGCCAGUGAGUUCAAUGUUUAUUCAACAAUACGUCAGGUCAAGGUGCAGCUUAUAAAAUGGGAAGAGAUGGGCUACAGUUUCUAAUAUAGACCACACGGAAGACUAAUUAUGAAAUCUAGUCGGAAGGCGGAUUUAGCAGUAAAUAGGAAUCAAAAAAUCCUUUUUAAUUCGGCCCUGGGGUGUGUACACACCGCCCGUCACCCUCCUCUAAUACUAUUAAUGCAGUUUUCAACAAAAUUUAACCUUCUAGAAGAGGCAAGUCGUAACAUGGUAAGU
rnacentral:ncRNA from 1 species